CAGGAAUGCUAGCGGCAGAAGCUACUUUUGGCACACUUCAUGAGGGUUCCAAUACGGAAGCAUGUUGGGAUGCUUUGAGGAAUUCAUGGGUGUGGGAGGAACUUCAUAGAGCUCGGAAUUACCGACCUGCUUUCGAGUAUGGACUUUUUCCAGGCUUAGCCUUAAGUGCAUGGAACACUACGUACUGAAAGGAAAAUCUCCGUUCACGCUUAAGCAUGGGAAACCUGACCAUGAAGCAUCAAAUGUAAGGGAUACCUUUCUCUGGAGAGAAAAAUAAAAGUUACUACAAAAUGGCAAAUUAAGUAUUUGGAUAUAUUUUGAUCUAGGAAUCCAUGUUAACCCUGUUAAAAUUCAUCG